ACCGAUACUCAACCAUUACAAUAAAUAGAAGUUGUAAUGAGUAAGAGGGCGUGAAUACUGUGUAGAAGGCUUGAACGUGAGUUUGGCUGGAACAGUAUUUAGUGCAGAUCUUGGUGGUAGUAGCAAAUAUUCAAAUGAGAACUUUGAAGACCGAAGUGGAGAAGGGUUCCAUGAGAACAGCAUUUGUUCAUGGGUUACUCGAUCCUAAGACAUAGGGAAAUUCCUUGUAAUAUAUGUAUUCUUACGAAUGCAUUGUCAAAAGGGAAUGAGGUUGAUAUUCCUCAAGCUGAAUGUGGAGGUUUCGUGGCAACACAAACAAGCUCGGAGACAUCGGUAUGUACAACUGGAAGAGUUCUCUUUUCUUCUUAACAAUCUAUCUCCCUGAAUGGAUUAUCCAGAGCUAGGGAUAUAUGGUUGGCAGAG
rnacentral:rRNA from 1 species